AUACGUAGGGUGCGAGCGUUGUCCGGAAUUACUGGGCGUAAAGAGCUCGUAGGUGGUUUGUCGCGUCGUCUGUGAAAUUCCGGGGCUUAACUCCGGGCGUGCAGGCGAUACGGGCAUAACUUGAGUACUGUAGGGGAGACUGGAAUUCCUGGUGUAGCGGUGAAAUGCGCAGAUAUCAGGAGGAACACCGGUGGCGAAGGCGGGUCUCGGGGCAGUAACUGACGCUGAGGAGCGAAAGCAUGGGUAGCGAACCGGAUUAGAGACCCGGGUAGUUCAUGCCGUAAACGGGGGGCGCUAGGUGGAGGGGUUUUCCACGACUUCUGUGCCGUAGCUAACGCAUUAAGCGCCCCGCCUGGGGAGUACGGCCGCAAGGCUAAAACUCAAAGGAAUUGACGGGG
rnacentral:rRNA from 1 species